AACCUACUGACUCUGCAUUUUCCUGAGACAACAGGACAACCCCACCCUCCUGCUGGUGACCUGAAAUUCCAGCUUGCAGAGCACUUCCUGCCUCCCUGUGAAACAGCCCGACCAUUGGGAUGCUGCUCCUGAGAUGGUUCACCCUCUGCUGCCUCUGGGUUUUUGGGCUUGGGCAGCUGGAGCAAAUUGAAGUAUCGGUCACCAGAGCGACAGAUCGGAGUGCCCAAAUAUCCUGUAGAGUUUCUCUUCCAGACUUCUACAACACAUAUAUACACUGGUACCGGCAAAAAACAAAUCAAGAGUUUGAGUAUCUAAUAUAUGUCAGGACAAACUACAAUCAACGCCGCUUAGGAGGGAAGAACAAGAAAAUUGAAGCAACUAAAGACCUUCAAACUUCUACUUCAACCUUGAAAUUAAAUUACUUGAAGAAAGAAGAUGAAGCCACCUACUACUGUGCGGCCUGGAUAAACACAACAUUAGAGCUUCUAGACCAGCCUGCAUAAGAACCAUCCCCAUCUGUGGCCACCCACAUCCUCUUGGCAAGCACAGCCACUUGAUGCUCAGACUGUGGCCACCAGGGCCUUCAAUCAUCACAGCACUUUUAGGGCUUCCAGGGAGCAUUCUGGGUUGUUUCCCCACUGAGGUCUUCGGUCCUACAGGUUACCAACUAAAGACAGAAUGGCCUUCACACUAACUCAGUGAGGGUAUCUAAGAGCAGUUCAAAUAAAGGCUGGGGAGCUCAAAGUGUGGUAUGGUCUUUUGUUAAUUCUCUGCACAGAGGUUUGCAGUAACUGAAUAGCUUAGAAUUAAGUCAGGACAGGGUUAAAGGUGAGGAGAGACAGGAAGCCCACAGGAUAUUUACUGCUACAGUUUUCCAGUACCUUAAUUCACACUGGGGAUUUUCAGAGAACAUGGGAUCUCUUGUUAGUUACAACUUAUAGUUUGUAAUGAAGAAAACUAUUGCUAUUGCAUCUGCAACUAAAUAAUCAGCUCAAUGGGAGAAUAUUAGAGACCAAUGUACAGUUUUGGGGAGGCAGGUCAAUGUAACAAAGCUUGGUCUACACCCUGGACUCAUGGCUUUUACUUUAGUAAUCUGCAAAUAAAAUCAUGAACUCAGAGCAAGAGCAUCAGGGAGUAGAUGCAGUGGGUCACAGAAAAAAUUAAAACAAAA